rnacentral:rRNA from 1 species
GGGCAUGCCUGUUUGAGCGUCGUUUCUCCCUCAAACCGCUGGGUUUGGUGUUGAGCAAUACGACUUGGGUUUGCUUGAAAGACGGUAGUGGUAAGGCGGGAUCGCUUUGACAAUGGCUUAGGUCUAACCAAAAACAUUGCUUGCGGCGGUAACGUCUACCACGUAUAUCUUCAAACUUUGACCUCAAAUCAGGUAGGACUACCCGCUGAACUUAAGCAUAUCAAUAAGCGGAGGAAAAGAAACCAACAGGGAUUGCCUCAGUAGCGGCGAGUGAAGCGGCAAAAGCUCAAAUUUGAAAUCUGGCGUCUUUGGCGUCCGAGUUGUAAUUUGAAGAAGGUAUCUUUGGGCCCGGCUCUUGUCUAUGUUCCUUGGAACAGGA